CUCUGGGGCAUGGUCCAGCCCCCUGCACCUCAGGUAGCCUGGCCAUCACGGGGCCACUGACAGCUGUUGGAGAAUGAGCCUGAAAGCCACAGUUUUCCAAAGCCGCGACCUGCCACCCCUGCUCAUUACUGCCACGACUUGUGUUCACAGUUCUGUGAGAUUUCCACACCCCGGGCACCUGCGUCCACUUCCGGCGAGGGCUGCCUGCCCCCGCGUCUCCGAGCAGGACACACCUUCCGCAGAAACGUCGCCUUGUCCCAGAAAGCGCCUUUUGAACUUCUGUUCGGGGCCCACAAACCUGGGUUGCAGAUGCUACGGACGGGCGCGGACAUGGAGGACAGAGCCGCGGAGAGGGAAACUUUCCGAGAACACCGGAGAGCGGACGAGGCAGGGACCGUGCCGGGCCGGGAGCAGGGCUUGUUUACGUUCUGCCGAUUUCUCCUGUUCCUCUAAUAUUUUGCUUCUGGAUGGAUGGCUGCCCCCGAGGAUGUUAUAUUUAGAAAAGCAGUUGGAGAGGGACGGGGUUACCUUUCAAAUCCUCUGGCAAGUUGAUCACACAGAGCCUUCCUGCGUGUAGCUCGAAGGCACAAUUAUGUGUAAGCAGGACCCCCUCUGAGAAUUCACGUGAGGACCCAGCGCCGGCGAUGGAGUCGGGGACCGCUCGUGUCGCAUCUAAUGUAAUUAUGCCGACAGCUAAUAUGCUGCCAGCACAUCUGUCCUCUCUCCUCCCACAGAAGCAGGAGGCCAGACCCUCACACGCACUGUUUCCUCGGCCCCGCGCAGGGCCGCUCUGGAAGGGGGGCAGCUCCCCUGGACGGCAGACCGUUCUGUGGCUUCGCGGACGUGGAACUGUGGACGUGGCUCUGCGGACGUGGAACUGCGUGGGCCCCAACCGCCCCCAGCCGUGCAGCACGUCUCCUUUCUAAGGCACCGCUCCUCGCCCUGACUCUGAGCCGGGCUCGGCCAGGAGCAAUGAUUCUGCUGCGCCAAAGACAGACGCAGCAACAUUCAGAUAAUCGGGAUUAUGGGUCCAUGAUGCUAAAGCGGCCUGAGCUGGGCUGACAGGGGCCGCCCCCAGCCCGCCGCCAGCCCUGAGGCCUGGCGGGGAUGCUCGCACACACACUCUCAGGAGGAGGCCCAGGAGGAAACAGGCUCCCCACCCCACGUGAGCCCUGGUGUAGGGCAGACCCCAAGUCCCACGCAAGAGCUGCAUUUCCCUUGUGAUGUCACACACGGUGCGGAAGAGCCAGCAGCCAGGCCUCUGAGCCCAAACAACUCAUCUCUGACUUGGUGGCGAGACACUUCGUCUGCCUGAUCUUGGUGUGUGACCUUGGGUAUAGGAUGCUUCUCACCUCUACAGCGGCAGCAGGAAGCGCCUGCCCCACCCCAUCCCCCACCGAACACAGGGCCUUCGUGAACAUAGAGGAAAGGGGCCUUUUUCUCACAUUUGUUACAGCAUCUCCCAACUCAAGAGCCCACUGGGUAUUGGCUAUAGAGCAUUUUAGAGCAAAACCCUAGGAACUUGGGAUUCUUUUUCUUUAUAUAAAGAAGGUGUGACGGCUAACAUAAGUGGUAGCUGUGACAUUAAGAGUCUCAAAUAAUUAAUUCACUUAAAAUAUUGAGCAAAUUCAUUCAAGCUGAGCAAGACUGGGGAGCCCACCCUGUGUCUCUUGCUGAGAGUGUCCUGGUGGGGGCAGGGCUGUCCUGGACACCGCGGGAACCAGAGGAGCAAAGACAGCGGGGAGGGAGCGGGACUGAGUCCAG
ensembl:lincRNA